GGUUGGUGUAUGAUGAGUGGACGGUCACGUUUGUCUCCCUGCAGUUAUUCCAGGUAUCAAAGGCAGAAGCCACGUGAAUGAAGAAAUUAAAUAUUUCAUGAAACUCAGGAUUUGGGCUUUGGUCAUGAGAGCCAGUCAGGAUGGUAUUUGGAAUUAGGACACAUAACCCCCAAGAAAUGCCCUUUGUUCCCUAAGCAGACCGGUUACCUAACCGCUUUAGAAUGUUCUGCAUGUUUAUUAACUAACCUGAACUAACUCAUCAACCUCUGUCAAACUGUUGCAGGAGCCUUAUGCAACCAAAAAUGGGAGGAGCCUGUUGUCAUCCCUUCAUCCAGAUGAGAUGCCCAUCGUCCAUCCUGUCUGGUCACUGGCCAGCAGGACUUGCAGGAUAAAUAUCACUACCUGAGGUUUAUUAUCUUCGUGGUUCUCAGGCUUUGCUGGAAUUUGAUUCAUCUGGGGAGAUUGUUCACCACAAAGAUGCCCAGCGCCCACCUGCAGAAGAAUCUGUUUGUAAGUAGUUUGGGAUAAAGCCCUGACUUUUGCAUAAACUUCCAUAUAAACUUUUUCUGUGAUUCUGAUGGACACUAAAUUUGGGAAAUACUGAGUUAAAGUGAUUCCUCGUGUAUUUCUGUAAAAU